rnacentral:tRNA from 1 species
CCCUGAAAUGAGGAACCAGAUGCCAGUAAUAGUGCAAGUUGUGAAACCCCCACGAU